GAUGAACGCUAGCUACAGGCUUAACACAUGCAAGUCGCGGGGCAGCAUGGGGGUUGCUUGCAAUCCCCGAUGGCGACCGGCGCACGGGUGAGUAACGCGUAUCCAACCUGCCCUUCACCACGGGAUAACCCGGCGAAAGUCGGACUAAUACCGUAUGUUGUCCAUUGACGGCAUCCGAUUUGGACGAAAGGUUUGGCGGUGAAGGAUGGGGAUGCGUCCGAUUAGCUGGACGGCGGGGUGACGGCCCACCGUGGCGACGAUCGGUAGGGGUUCUGAGAGGAAGGUCCCCCACACUGGAACUGAGACACGGUCCAGACUCCUACGGGAGGCAGCAGUGAGGAAUAUUGGCCAAUGGGCGUAAGCCUGAACCAGCCAAGUAGCGUGCAGGAUGACGGCCCUAUGGGUUGUAAACUGCUUUUAUGCGGGGAUAAAGUGGCCCACGUGUGGGUUUUUGCAGGUACCGCAUGAAUAAGGACCGGCUAAUUCCGUG
rnacentral:rRNA from 1 species